rnacentral:rRNA from 1 species
UACGUAGGGUGCAAGCGUUAAUCGGAAUUACUGGGCGUAAAGCGUGCGCAGGCGGUUGUGCAAGACAGAUGUGAAAUCCCCGGGCUCAACCUGGGAACUGCAUCUCGUGACUGUCAAUAGCUAGAGUACGGUAGAGGGGGAUGGAAUUCCGCGUGUAGCAGUGAAAUGCGUAGAUAUGCGGAGGAACACCGAUGGCGAAGGCAAUCCCCUGGACCUGUACUGACGCUCAUGCACGAAAGCGUGGGGAGCAAACAGG